UACGUAGGGUGCGAGCGUUGUCCGGAAUUAUUGGGCGUAAAGGGCUCGUAGGGCGGUUUUGUCGCGUCGGGAGUGAAAACCCAGGGCUUAACUCUGGGCUUGCUUUCGAUACGGGGCAGACUAGAGGUAUGCAGGGGAGAACGGAAUUCCGUGGUGUAGCGGUGAAAUGCGCAGAUAAUCAGGAGGAACACCGGUGGCGA
rnacentral:rRNA from 1 species